rnacentral:misc_RNA from 1 species
CUUUAUUGCACAUCAGGAUCAUAGUCUGCAGUUGGCAGCAACCUAUACUUUCACCUGCAUUCUUGGAAGGAAACAAUCAAUGCAGUUUCAAUCAGUUUUUUUAACUCUGAUUUUUAGUCCAUUAAUUGCUGAAUUACACAAAAGGAGCAACUGAGCAAAUCUUUUUUCAUUGCAUGACCCAUCCACCCAAUUCUAGCAAGAUUCAAACUUAAAAUCUUCCUAUUGAAUUCCAAAUCCCACCUGUGUUUUUCCAUGCAAAGUUACUAGAGCAAUACAAAAAAGCUAAUGCACUGGUAAUCUAGCAUUUUAUGAGCACCAUCUCUUAGAUCAUGGAGAGGAAAAACGAAAAAAUAUCAUGAGAUUCUUUCAAAUCAAUAUGUUAGCAUCAGCCAUAAGCUGCCCCAGACUUAAGGGAAAUCCAUUGGUCAAUUUUCAGAACUCUGAAGAGCGAGCUUCUUGAACCAUCAAUAUCACGUCCCAUUCAGACCAAGGUUACACAGACAAGUCACCUUGUUUGCAAAUAUAAUUUUCUGAUGCAUGUAUCCUAUGAGAUUAGAUGAAUAGAAGUGGAACCCCAUAAAGGUCUGCCCUAGAAAAGUUUGAAAGAAACAGAGGCAGCAGAAAAUGAAGUCAGCAAGAGUGAAUUGAUAUAAAACUAACCAAUCCAAAUGUUGCAAAAUCAUUGCCUAAUUAAAGAAGAAAAGGAAACACAAUUAUUUUAUAUUAUGAUAUAAAAUAUACAAAAGAUACCAGAUAUAGCAAAAAUAACUAUUUAUUUAUAAAGAUUGCUUGUUUGGCAAGGAUAUUGAUAACUUUGACCUAAACUAGUAUAAUAUUAUUAUUACUAACAUGGAUAGAAAUCCUCUCAAACAAUUUCUAUAUUCUUCUGGUAGGGUCGUUCACAGAUUCAAUUUGACCUAUAAAUCAAACGGAUAAAUUACUGAAAUAGACUUUGGCAAUACAAGGGGAAGGGCACAUAUGUCUCUCAUAUUCUUACCAAACUUCAUCAUGCAAGAAGUCUCAUGCUCUGAGACACCCAAGAUUAUUCACAAGCCAAUCCUACAGGGAUUAGCAUAUCAUAGACUGUAUCCACUUUUCUCACGACUUUGGAGUUUGGACGUGACAGUUUGCUAAUAAUAGAUCUCACAAUGCCAUUAUCUUCUUGAGAAUAUCAACAACAUGAUACAAAUCCACAGAGAAAUAUUUUUCCACUUCAGUGGUUUUUGUUUAUCUAUAAAGUUAUUCAAAUUUCUACUCUCUACCAAGUAUCUCAUGCCCCAUGGCCAGUUGUCACCAACAAUAUUCAUUCUUCAUUCAGAAGAUCAAUAGUGCCCAAAUAAUUGCCUAGAAUAAUUCCAAUAUAGCUUCAUUCAAUUUCUUAAGUGGUUAAAGUUUAGUGUGCGCUAGAAAAGGAAAAUGCAUACAAAUCAAAUUGUUAAACUCAUAGAUAUGAUAUCUACAAAUCCAUAUUUCACAAUUGCCCAGCUGAUAUCUAUGUUCAUUACUCUUUAGAUAUAUUCUCAGUGCCUAAGGGUCCCCUCGCAAUAGUAUACUACCCUCAACCAACAUGGUUUUAUGAGUAUCAAAAAAAUCAUACACUCGUGAACUCAGCUUAAGAUACUACAACUACCACUUGAAUAAAAAACAUGAAAUCAGCACAAGCCAACAUUAUAACAUAAUGCCAAAAUAUAGAAAGAUUACAGAACUUUCAUUUUUUGGGGGACAGAUUACACAACUAUACAUCUUGAAUUCAGUUGUUCUAGAAUAAGAAAUAUUCACAAUUACAGUUUUUACAAUCAAAUAGUUCCUAGCAAUAUAGAACUAACAAAAACCUAGCAGCAAUUUCAUAUUUUGAAUAAUAAGCUAAGAAUCAAUGCACCUACAGCCCUUGUUCUCUUGGACCUUUCUUUCUAUACCAACCUCUGAUAUAUGCAGAUGAAAGGAAACAAAUGAAUUCUUAAUACUAGCUUAAGCAAAAUUGGACUAAAUUUAUGCCUAAUGAAACAAUGGAAAAUAGGUUACAUGAAAUUAUCAAAGUGUGUCUGUCAUACCAUGGUUUUCCUUUAUAUAUGCUAGUCUUCUCUUGGCAAUCUUGGACCUGUAACACCAAACCUCAAAUGCUUCAGUAAAGUCUGGAUAGUGAAUAUGCUCAUUCCCCAACCAUUCAGUCAAAAUCUCUGCCUGGUCUCCUGAAGGCAAUGCAAGAACUAUUGAAACAAAUGCAGAUUCCAAGGACUGCCACAUCUCACCAUCCAUCUUAAGCUCCAUAGCUUCCUCAUCAUUAGUUGUCACAGAAUCAAUUAAAGGUUUUGAAACCCUCACAAAUGGAAGCCAAGCCUUCACCACAUGAAGCCGCUUUGCAGUAGGCAAUAUAACAGUGCCAUACCCUAUUGCUUCUAAAACCUUUGAUGUCACCUCAAUAACCUUCAACUUUGUCUCAAUUAUUUCACCUGCUGAACUAGCAUGUUUGACAACUUGAAGUACCUUAUCGGAUGCAUCUACCCAACUGUUGACAAAUUCAAAUAUGAUUUCCAACUUGCUUAAAAUUUGACAGGCCCAUGACAUAUCCGAUAGAUGACAAUGAAAUGAUUGCAUUUUCCCUGACUCAGAAACUGAUUCUACAGGUUUAAAUAAGAAAGUGUCCAGUAGGUUGUUAAAUCUGCAAAAUAGUCCCUUCACACAUUCUUUUACAAUAGAUUUUAUCUCAUCAUCAGCACUUAAUAGAGGGGCAUCAUCAUCUUCAGUAAGCAUGUACUCCAGCUGCUCUUGUGCAGAAGUUUUAAGAUUAUUCAUGGGUGAAGGAGGUGAUGAUGUGGCAAACUGAACAGCUGACAGAAAAAUUCUCCUUAUAGUUGAUGAAUUAACGGGUCGAAGACGGGCAAGAAUUGGCUCUGCUUGUGAUCCCAUGCCUGGUAUGACCCUUAGAAUCUCCUCCUCCUCUGCUUCUUCCCAAGGGACUGCUUCUAAGUAAUUCACACAAGCGGUAACAAUUUGUGGGCACCCAAGUUCAACAGCCACCUGCAGAAUACCAAGGGCAUUCUUCACACCAUGCCAUAUGUCAUCUGAUGAGCCAUCUAUAGCAACAUAUAGAAGGCGAACAAAAUUGACAAAGUGAUCAAAAUCUGCUUCUUCACAGUGGACUUCAACACAAUUCCGUGAGUCAAUGAUCUGGCAAGUUGGCCAGUUCUCAGAAAGACGGUCAGCAAAAUACUUGCUCUUCUCUACCAGGAUAUGAGAAUGACAAUAAAACCAAUCAUCUCGGCCUUCCUGCGUUCGUAGCCUUACGACAACAUCACUGGUUGAUCGGUCACCAAUCCUACUCAGUGCCAUAAAAGCAAACUGCACUAAUAAGUAUUUAUCUUACUCAGGGCUCCAGUAAACGAAUGAGAAUCUGCAAGCAAAAGAAGUGUAACUACAUAGUUAAAAUAGUUGAUUAAAGAAAGUAGUAUAACUAGAACUCAUGCAACUUAUUGGAUGCUGCGUUAACUUUCUGACCUUGCCGUAGCAUUUAGGGUCAUAAACUCAACCAAAGAAAAAUGCAGAAUAAUAAUCUAACUAACAGGUACAGCGGAUGGAAUCUAAAGUUUGAAUAAUAAAACAAACUGCAUUCUCAAUAAAAUUUCCAAGAUAGGCAUUAUAUUAAUAUCAGAGAUCACAUUCCAAUAUCAAAAUGUUAACAUACAACCAGACUAAAUGGAAAUUAAAAGACAACUUUCGUGAGUAUACCUGCAAACCUUAUUAAAACAUGGAACCCUCUUAACCUCAAAUUGAACCAAGAUUCAUCCAAAAUUAGAGAAACAGAAAAAGAUCAUAUUCUAUCAAUUGUAGUACCCUACUCACACUAUUUAUCCAGAGCCAUUCAAAUAUAAUGGAACACUCAAUGGGAGGCGGGUCUGUGUUAAACAACAAACUAGCAUCAUGGAUAAACUAAAUGCAAAAAACCGAUAAUAAAUUGGCUCGAUGAAGAAAACCCACAAACAGAUUGGGCCUGCAUUUUGACCCUCAUUUAUCAAACCCACAUUUAUAUUUAUCUCCUCCACAUGCGCUCUUCAGUCCUCACUAGUACGUAGUUAUAAACUAAACUCUUGAGGCAAAUAAUGUAAAGCAAGGAAAAGGGGAAACAAAUGUGCGAGAUGAUGAAGAUUUACGAGCAAAGCAAUGGUGGGUGUAUAAAAACAGAC